GCAUUAAAACACCGGUUCCCAUACGAUCACUGAAGUUAAGCAACAUCAGGCCUGCCUGGUCAGUACCUAGAUGGGUGACCCCUUGGUUAUACUAGGUACUGUAAG